rnacentral:misc_RNA from 1 species
GAAAUGCGAUAAGUAAUGUGAAUUGCAGAAUUCCGUGAAUCAUCGAAUCUUUGAACGCACAUUGCGCCCCCUGGCAUUCCGGGGGGCAUGCCUGUCCGAGCGUCAUUGCUACCCCUCAAGCGCGGCUUGUGUGUUGGGCGCUGUCCCUCCCCUUCUUCGGGGGGACAGGCCUGAAAGGCAGUGGCGGCGUCGCGUCCGGUCCUCGAGCGUAUGGGGCUUUGUCACCCGCUCUGUGAGGAUCCGGCCGGGGCCUGUCUCACCCCCAAUCUUCUCUAAGGUUGACCUCGGAUCAGGUAGGGAUACCCGCUGAACUUAA